rnacentral:pre_miRNA from 1 species
AGUGAGAAAGCUGGGUCAAAUGGUGGUUCCAUUCCAAGUUUUUUGAGGAAUCUCCAUACUGCUUUCCAGUGUGGUUGUACCAAUUUGCAGUCCCAUCAGCGAU